rnacentral:tRNA from 1 species
GGGGAUGUAGCUCAGUGGUAGAGUGCAUGCUUUGCAUGUAUGAGGUCCUGGGUUUGAUCCCCAGUGUCUCCA